rnacentral:rRNA from 1 species
GACGAACGCUGGCGGCGUGCUUAACACAUGCAAGUCGAACGGAAAGGCCCUGCUUUUGUGGGGUGCUCGAGUGGCGAACGGGUGAGUAACACGUGAGUAACCUGCCCUUGACUUUGGGAUAACUUCAGGAAACUGGGGCUAAUACCGGAUAGGAGCUCCUGCUGCAUGGUGGGGGUUGGAAAGUUUCGGCGGUUGGGGAUGGACUCGCGGCUUAUCAGCUUGUUGGUGGGGUAGUGGCUUACCAAGGCUUUGACGGGUAGCCGGCCUGAGAGGGUGACCGGCCACAUUGGGACUGAGAGACGGCCCAGACUCCUACGGGAGGCAGCAGUGGGGAAUAUUGCACAAUGGGCGGAAGCCUGAUGCAGCAACGCCGCGGGCGGGAUGACGGCCUUCGGGUUGUAAACCGCUUUCGCCUGUGACGAAGCGUGAGUGACGGUAAUGGGUAAAGAAGCACCGGCUAACUACGUG